rnacentral:rRNA from 1 species
AUUGCUUGGCUGCGCCUGGUGAAUCCGCAGCCGGUCCCCCCGGGGGCCGGUCCAACGACUAAAUGAUACCGGCUGAUCAAGGUCAGCUGAGAUAUAGUCUCAACCCCCGGGGCGACCCGGCGUGGAUCAUUGCAUUAAAUCAGUUAUCGUUUAUUUGAUAGUACCUCACUACUUGGAUAACCGUGGUAAUUCUAGAGCUAAUACAUGCUAAAAACCUCGACUUCGGAAGGGGUGUAUUUAUUAGAUAAAAAACCAAUGCCCUUCGGGGCUCCUUGGUGAUUCAUAAUAACUUAACGAAUCGCAUGGCCUUGCGCCGGCGAUGGUUCAUUCAAAUUUCUGCCCUAUCAACUUUCGAUGGUAGGAUAGUGGCCUACCAUGGUGGCAACGGGUAACGGGGAAUUAGGGUUCUAUUCCGGAGAGGGAGCCUGAGAAACGGCUACCACAUCCAAGGAAGGCAGCAGGCGCGCAAAUUACUCAAUCCCGAUACGGGGAAGUAGUGACAAUAAAUACUGAUACAGGGCUCUUUUGGGUCUUGUAAUUGGAAUGAGUACAAUUUAAAUCCCUUAACGAGGAACAAUUGGAGGGCAAGUCUGGUGCCAGCAGCCGCGGUAAUUCCAGCUCCAAUAGCGUAUAUUAAAGUUGUUGCAGUUAAAAAGCUCGUAGUUGAACCUUGGGCUUGGCUGUCCGGUCCGCCCUCACCGCGUGCACUGGUUCGGCCGAGCCUUUCCUUCUGGGGAGCCGCAUGCCCUUCACUGGGUGUGUCGGGGAACCAGGACUUUUACUUUGAAAAAAUUAGAGUGUUCAAAGCAGGCCUAUGCUCGAAUACAUUAGCAUGGAAUAAUAGAUAGGACGUUGUGUCUCUAUUUUGUUGGUUUCUAGG